rnacentral:lncRNA from 1 species
UGAGUAAUAAUUAUCUAAUAGUUUGAAGUAAUGAAAAUAUUGAAAAGAAAACAUGAAAGAUGAGUUUUGUUGACUUUGACUUUGAUGUCAUGUGAACAAUAUAUAAACAAAGAUUUUAAUUUAGCAGCCAAAUGAGUGUUUUGUUUAAUGCAAUUGGUUGGCGGAAAUUAUUGUAUAUUGGGAUUGGUCAUGAGGAACGUGUAUAUCUUAAAUUGAAAGG